AAACUGUGCAAUUCAGCGACAAUAAAAAGCAGGUCACAACAAUAUCGAUCAGAGAGAUGAGCGACCCGCAGAGAUCUCAGAGGAAUAUACGUUUAAUUAUAAGUUUUGUUUCAUGCCGAGACUCUGGUGGAGUCAUUAAGCUGACUCCGUUUAUCUUUACCGACAAAAAGUGAGAACACGGACAAAACAAAGCUACGAAGACUCACUGAUAGCCUGUCAAUAUGGCAAUUAAACGACCUAAAGUCGCUAUUGGAUUCAUAGUGGCAGGUGUGCUGAUGGUGGUUUUCGGCACAAUUAUGUGUUUUGUGGUACCAUUAGUCAUCGACGAUCAAAUAGUAAAGAACACAGUAAUUGAUCCAAAGAAUGAUCUCACAUACACCAUGUGGAAAGACAUCCCUGUGCCGUUCUUUAUGUCGGUCUACUUCUUCAAUGUCCUCAAUCCUGCUGAGAUACUGAAGGGAGAAAAGCCGAUGGUGGAACAGAGAGGACCUUAUGUUUACAGAAAGCAGUGUCAGAAGGAAAACAUUACGUUCCAUCCCAAUGGUACAGUGUCCUACAGGGAAUACAGACAGUACCACUUCGAGCCCUCCAUGUCUGCUGGAAACGAGUCUGAUGUUGUCACAAUUCCAAACAUGUUGGUGUUGGGUGCAUCAGUGAUGAUGGAAAACUUGCCCUACGUGCUGCGCCUCAUGAUGAGUGCAACCUUUAAAACUUUUAAAGAAGGUGCCUUCCUGACCAAGCCUGUAGGGGAGCUUAUGUGGGGUUAUGACAGUGGACUAGUGGAUUUUCUAAAUCAAUACCUGCCAGGAAUGAUUCCCACAUCAGGAAAAUUUGGCCUCUUUUCAGAGUUCAACAACUCCAACACUGGCCUGUUCACUGUCUUUACUGGAAAAGAUGACAUUAGAAAAGUCCACAGAGUGGACUCUUGGAAUGGUCUGACAGAGCUGCCGUACUGGAGGACUGCUCAGUCUAACAUGAUCAAUGGAACAGCUGGGCAGAUGUGGCCUCCUUUCAUGACAAAAGAGAGCACUUUGCCUUUCUACAGCCCUGACGCCUGCAGGUCUAUGGAGCUGGUUUAUCAGCGUCCUGGAGAGAUGUACGGGAUCCCUCUAUAUCGAUAUGUUGCACCCAAGACCCUUUUUGCCAAUGGGACAGAUUAUGCUCCCAAUGAAGGCUUCUGCCCCUGUAGACAGUCUGGACUCCUCAAUGUUAGCACAUGCCGCCACAACUCUCCAGUUUUCAUCUCUCAUCCUCACUUCUUUAAUGCUGAUCCUGUGCUGCUGGACUACGUGCAGGGUCUUAAUCCCAGUGAGGAGAAGCACGGCCUCUUCAUAGACAUUCACCCACAAACAGGUGUCCCUCUGAAUGUGUCCAUCCGCCUGCAGCUGAACCUCUACAUGAAAAAAGUCUCAGGAAUUACUGAAACUGGAAAGAUUUCUGAUGUGGUGAUGCCUAUGAUCUGGUUUGAGGAGAACGGAUAUAUUGAUGGCCCCAUCGUCAAUACAUUCCAUACAAACUUGGUUGUUCUACCUACUGUUUUGGAAUACCUACAGUACAUCCUCAUAGGGCUUGGUCUGGCAACCAUCAUCGUUGCUGCUGUGGUGUAUCACAAAGUGAAGCGGUCUAACUUAAAUGUUUCAGUGAGCUCCACAUUUAUUGAGAAUGUUGGGGCAGCCCAGAAAGAGCCGGUAAAAGGCUCACAUGGCCUUGAAACAAAGAAGAAAAGUAUCAGUACUUCAGACUAAUCAACCUGGCCAAAGCAACCUACCGGAUGGAAUCAAAUGUAGUUCAGCUGAAGAGAGGGACCCUCUGCUACAAGAUGACAUGAACUGAAUGAUGUGCAAAUAAGCCCAUCCAGCUGUUGUUGUGGACUCACCAGCAUCCUCCAAGUAUAAUUUAACUGAAACACUGUCACAAGUGGUUUUGCAAAUUGGCUGCAUGGGCUGAAACUGUUUUUGUCUCUCAAGGCAGAACAAGAGAAGAUUUGAAAACCACUUUUUUUUUUCUUUUUUUCUUUACUUUAAAAUCUUCCAAAACAAAUAGGCUAUUCUUUCCAGUUGCCAGUCUAAACCCAUUGAACCUGUUAUGAUCAUCAUCACAUUUGACAUGGAACAACUUAUAAUUUUACCAUUUUAUGCGUCAGCAAUAAUUACUGUGGUGAUUAUUUAUAUGGUAACUUGAAAGAAGUGUUUCUGUGAGUUAAAAAAAAUGGAACCAUCCAACAUCACUGUCUUACCUGUGCCAUGAAAGCAUUUAUCUGCUUUAAUUUUCAUAUGCACUGAGGAUUAUAGAGAGAAGUUGGAACUACUUGUCGAGGCUCAAGCUGUCAAUCGUCUGACAAUCUGAGUCAAGCAGAGCUGAUGCACUCAUGUUUCUAUAUCACUGUAUUCUGUAAAGCUGUAUUUCUUGAAAUGUAUGAGAAUAAUGCAGUUUGGUGCCAAGCACCUUCUUAAAAAAAGUUAAUAAAUUAAAAGAAACAUGGAGGUUAAGUAUAAA